rnacentral:rRNA from 1 species
UACGGGGGGGGGCAAGCGUUGUUCGGAAUUACUGGGCGUAAAGGGCUCGUAGGCGGCCAACUAAGUCAGACGUGAAAUCCCUCGGCUUAACCGGGGAACUGCAUCUGAUACUGGAUGGCUUGAGAUGGGAUGGAGGAGGAUCGGAAUUCCAGGUGUAGCGGUGAAAUGCGUAGAUAUCUGGAGGAACACCGGUGGCGAAGGCGGCAUCCUG